ACAUCUAGACACACGGUAUCGAUUCACGAGCAGCCUCUCGGUUGGACAGUGAACAUGAUACAGUCGGCAAUGAACUGACGCAAGUGGAGGCCGCGUAUGAAAGUAAAUAUUAACGCUGCCUCCUUCGGUUACGCUCGUGAGCCACACCGGAGAUCUUGUAAAUACACCUUACUUGGGUGCAUCCAAAGUACAUACGCACAUAUUCGCGGACUGGAUCAAUUUGGAUUCUUACGUAUCGUCGUAUUUUUAAGAGAUAGGACACUCGUUCGACGAAUUUAAAAGGAGCAUAUCUUGGCUAGAUUUAGCCGUGCUAAAUCACUGUCAAAUUUCUAUAAAAUUUAUUCCUCUAUGGCAUCGUAAGUCGUCGUAAAUCAUCUUACUGCGCGUUUCAGGUCCUAAAAUUUCUCCGAGGAAUACGUAUGCACAUAGCUGUUAACAUCUGUUAAGCAAUCGUCUAGGCAUACAUAUAUGGGACGUGCUAGCCACCGAAGGAGAAUCUCAGAGGAGACCAACGGGAAAUAAAUCUUCAGAGACUAGUUGGUUAGGAUUUGCGGGAUAUCUUGCAGAAACGGAUUGCACAACGAAGCUGCAAGGCGAUUCGCACGAUCGUGAUGAAUGGAGGAAGGGACGAGUAAAGUGUGAUGUUACAACUCUUGUUAUCCACUGGAGUAUUUCUUUUCCUUUCGGCAAAUAUAGUUUACUCGUUUCGUUCGCUGUACCAAAUGCAAGUAUAUUUUACGACUAUCCUAUGAUACUUUAUUUACAAGCUCGAAGACGAUCUUCGAGAUCGUUCUCGAUCCAGUAAAGCCUUUAUCUCUAUUAAAAAUGUUUUCUAACUUUGAGAAAAACGCGCUUCUAUGGAACUUGCUUCCGUGAGUCAAAAAAUUACACGUUAACGCAUAACUUGAGGAAUUUGUUGAAAUUCUUAUGUUGGAUUUCUCAUUCUUAAAUUCAACGUCUUGGAGGCAAAAUAAACGUACACGCAUUCGAUAAAAUAAAAUGACAAUAUCGCAGAGUGUAUGUUCGUCUUUUAAUUUUAAUGCUUAAAGAUUGAGAGUAUUAGCCACGAGGUUUUCAAAUUCCCUUACAAGAAUGAUAAAAUUUUAAAGCACGAAAAGGCACCGCAAAGAAACCAAU